AUUAAAAUGAUAUAUACUCUAAACUGUAUACUUUUAUAGUUUAUAAAAAUGAUGAUCUUUUAAGAAUUAAAUUGUGUAUUUCAAUCUUUCAAGUCUGAGUUGUUAUAGUUUACUCUAAUAAUAAUCAUAGAAUAUUACAAAGUAUCUUGUGAUAUUUAAAUAUGAAGUCGUUUGGAUUGUUCAUUUAUUAGUCAAAAGUGUUAUUUAUUUUGAUAUCUUAUGAUUCUAUGAUGAGACCAAGUGGUGUGAAAAUUGUGAAUACUUUGGUCUUUAAGUUAACCGUUUAAACUGUAAUUUUUGAAUGUGUAUUAUUUUAUAUUUAGGCUUUCAACACCAGUCAGAACAACAUGCUAAUCCUGCAAGAAAGUUGCAUAGACUCAUCAGGAUCACUUGUGGUGUACUGCCCGGUGGACCUUCCGUCGAUCAACAUGGCGAUGAGCGGCGAGGACCCGUCAUACAUCCCGCUGCUACCGUCCGGGUUCACAAUAUCGCCGGAUGGGCAAGCCGAGCAAGGAGGGGUUGCUGCCGGGGACGUGGCAUCGAGCAGCAGCUCAAGCGCGCCGAGGAACACCGGCGGGGGGUCGCUGAUAACGGUGGCGUUUCAGAUUCUGGUGAGCAGCUUGCCAUCUGCUAAGCUGAACUUGGAGUCAGUGAACACUGUGAACAACCUCAUUGCCACCACUGUUCACCAGAUUAAGGGUGCUUUGAAUUGUCCUACUUCCUCAUGAGGGACCAAAAAGAAAGAAAAAAGAAAAGAAAAUAAUAGGAGAAAGGAAAGGAAGAAAUCUGUUUAAUUGUAAUUUUUUUUUAUUUUUUUAUUUUGUGGGGUUUUUACUAUAUCCUUAAAUAGGGUGAUCAGAAAGGGUUCAGAGUUCAGAGACUUUGUUGGUGGUGGUGGUGGUGGAAUUGAAUGUGGGAGAGAAAGGGAACAUUUUGUGUUAGUUGGGGACUUGAAUGCAUAAAAAAAAGAGCUGAAGAAAAUGCUAUUAAGGUAUUAACUGCUGCUACUAAAAGCAUCACACCUGUUUUUGCUGCCGAGGAGGUUGGUUUCAAGGCUUCAUUACAUUACUACAACACAUUUCAUUUCUUUCGCUUUUAUUUUUAUUUUUAGUUAUUUUUAUUAUAUUUUGGGUUUGUGUUAAUUAUUAAUUUUAAGGGCUUUGCUUCUUUCUUUCUUUCUUUCUUUAUUUUGGGGGAUUGUUUGGGUAUUUGGAUUGGAAUUAAGAAGAAGCAGUAGUGAAUGAUGAUGAUAUUAUGAGUCAUAGAAGAGGGAGUCAAGAACGCACCAUACGCGGUCUUUUGGUAAUUUCCUAGAAAGAAGAUUUGAAACUCCUGCUUGAAAUGUUUGUAUGGUUCGGGUAUUGACUUUCUGUUCAUAGACUUUAUUCUUAUAAACUAAAUUUAUAUAUUAUUCACCCUUUACAUUAUGUUACAUAUAAUUCUUGUUUUACUAGUAUCUUUUAUUUUGAUAGAGAAAGGAAAACAGAGGCUUUUAACGUAUUUUCAUCUGUAAGAAAAAAAAGUAGGGUUUAUCCAGAGUAUCUUUGGAAUUAGAUUAAUUAUUGAACUCAUGAAGUGAAGUAAUUAGAUAAUUUUGGCAUUGAAUCGGAUCGAAUUAAGUAAAUGGAUCAUUUUGCAAUUUACUCCAAAUUCAUUUGAAUCAAUUUUUUAAAUACUCAAAGUAGAUGCACCUUUUUCGUUUUUAAAAUUUAUAUCAAUGGUCAAUUUUACCUAUUUUUUUAUGAUUAAUUUCUUCUUACUUUUACUUUAGUCAAAUAUCAAUGAUGAAGACCAUGAAUGGGGGCUGGCGCCUGCCCAGUGCCGGAAGGUCAAGGAAGUUGGUGACUUGAUGACAGGGGAAUCGACGACCAGAGCCCGGUGAACGGCGGCCGUAACUAUAACGGUCCUAAGGUAGCAAAAUUCCUUGUCAGGUAAGUUCCGACCCGCACGAAAGGCAUAACGAUCUGGGCACUGUCUCGGAGAGAGGCUCGGUGAAAUAGAUAUGUCUGUGAAGAUGCAGACUACCUACACCUGGACAGAAAGACCCUAUGAAGCUUCACUUUUCCCUGGGAUUGCCUUUGAGCCUUUCCUGCGCAGCUUAGGUGGAGGGUGAAGAAGGCCUCCUUUCGGGGGGGCUCGAGCCAUCAAUGAGAUACCACUCUGGAAGAGCUAGAAUUCUAACCUUGUGUUAGGACCUAUGGAUCAAGGGACAAUCUCAGGUAGACAGUUUCUAUGGGGCGUAGGUCUCCCAAAAGGUAACGGAGGCGUGCAAAGGUUUCCUCGGGUCAGUCAGAGAUUGGCCCUCGAGUGUAAAGGAAGAAGGGAGCUUCACUGCAAGACCCACUCGGAAGUCGGCCUUAGUGAUCCGACAGUGUCGAGUGGAAGGGCUGUCGCUCAACGGAUAAAAGUUACUCUAGAGAUAACAAGCUAAUCUUCCCAAGAGCUCACAUCGAUAGGAAAGUUUGGCACCUCUGUAGUAUGUUCCAAGGGUUGGGCUGUUCGCCCAUUAAAGCGGUAUGUGAGUUGGGUUCAGAACAUCAUGAGACAGUUCGGUCCAUAUCCGGUGUGGGCGUUAGAGCAUUGAGAGGACCUUUCCCUAGUACGAGAGGACCGGGAAGGACGCACCUAUGGUGUGCUAGUUAUCGUGCCCACGGUAAACGCUGGGUAGCCAAGUGCGGAGCGGAUAACUGCUGAAAGCAUCUAAGUAGUAAGCCCACCCCAAGAUGAGUGCUCUCCUAUUCCGACUUCCUCAGAGCCUUCGGUAGCACAGCCAAAACAGCGAUGGGUUCUCUGCCCCUGUAGGGAUGGAGCAACAGAAGUUUUGAGAAUUCAAGAGAAGGUCACGGCGAGGCGAGCCGUUUAUCGUUAACAAUAGGUGUCAAGUGGAAGUG
rnacentral:rRNA from 1 species